rnacentral:rRNA from 1 species
GAUGAACGCUGGCGGCGUGCCUAAUACAUGCAAGUCGAGCGAACAGACGAGAAGCUUGCUCCUCUGACGUUAGCGGCGGACGGGUGAGUAACACGUGGAUAACCUACCUAUAAGACUGGGAUAACUUCGGGAAACCGGAGCUAAUACCGGAUAAUAUAUUGAACCGCAUGGUUCAAUAGUGAAAGACGGUUUUGCUGUCACUUAUAGAUGGAUCCGCGCCGCAUUAGCUAGUUGGUAAGGUAACGGCUUACCAAGGCAACGAUGCGUAGCCGACCUGAGAGGGGGAUCGGCCACACUGGAACUGAGACACGGUCCAGACUCCUACGGGAGGCAGCAGUAGGGAAUCUUCCGCAAUGGGCGAAAGCCUGACGGAGCAACGCCGCGUGAGUGAUGAAGGUCUUCGGAUCGUAAAACUCUGUUAUUAGGGAAGAACAAAUGUGUAAGUAACUAUGCACGUCUUGACGGUACCUAAUCAGAAAGCCACGGCUAACUACGUG